UACGUAGGGUGCAAGCGUUAAUCGGAAUUACUGGGCGUAAAGCGUGCGCAGGCGGCUUUGCAAGACAGAUGUGAAAUCCCCGGGCUUAACCUGGGAACUGCAUUUGUGACUGCAUGGCUGGAGUGCGGCAGAGGGGGAUGGAAUUCCGCGUGUAGCAGUGAAAUGCGUAGAUAUGCGGAGGAACACCGAUGGCGAAGGCAAUCCCCUGGGCCUGCACUGACGCUCAUGCACGAAAGCGUGGGGAGCGAUCCGG
rnacentral:rRNA from 1 species